rnacentral:rRNA from 1 species
UGGCGGCUUUAGCGCGGUGGUCCCACCUGACCCCAUGCCGAACUCAGAAGUGAAACGCCGUAGCGCCGAUGGUAGUGUGGGGCCUCCCCAUGCGAGAGUAGGGAACUGCCAGGC